UACGUAGGGGGCGAGCGUUGUCCGGAAUUAUUGGGCGUAAAGAGCGUGUAGGCUGUUCGGUAAGUCUGCCGUGAAAACCUGAGGCUCAACCUCGGCGUGCGGUGGAUACUGCCGGGCUAGAGGACGGUAGAGGCGAGUGGAAUUCCCGGUGUAGCGGUGAAAUGCGCAGAUAUCGGAGGAACACCAGUAGCGAAGGCGGCUCGCUGGCCGUUCCUGACGCUGAGACGCGAAAGCUAGGGAGCGAACAGG
rnacentral:rRNA from 1 species